rnacentral:rRNA from 1 species
UACGAAGGUGGCAAGCGUUACUCGGAAUUACUGGGCGUAAAGCGCGUGUAGGCGGAAAAAUAAGUCAGGGGUGAAAUCCCGGGGCUCAACCUCGGAAUUGCCUUUGAAACUAUUUUUCUUGAGUGUAGCAGAGGAUGGUGGAAUUUCCAGUGUAGAGGUGAAAUUCGUAGAUAUUGGAAGGAACACCAGCGGCGAAGGCGACCAUCUGGGCUACAACUGACGCUGAGACGCGAAAGCGUGGGGAGCAAACGGG